GACGAACGCUGGCGGCGUGCUUAACACAUGCAAGUCGAACGAAGUGGCGAACGGGUGAGUAAUACGUGGGUAACCUGCCCUCCUUUUUGGGAUAAGCCUUGGAAACGGGGUCUAAUACCGAAUAAGGGGGGAUGGGCUCGCGGCCUAUCAGCUGGUUGGGGGGGUGAUGGCCGACCAAGGCGGGGACGGGUAGCCGGCGUGAGCGGGUGACCGGCGACAUUGGGACGGGGUGACGGCCCAGACUCCGACGGGGGGCAGAAGUGGGGGAUAUUGCACAAGGGGCGAAAGCCUGAUGCAGCGACGCCGCGGGGGGGAUUAAGGUUUUGGGGUUGUAAACCUCUUUCGCGAUCGAAAGGGUAGGUGGAGAAGAAGCGCCGGCUAACUACGUGCCAGCAGCCGCGGUAAUUC
rnacentral:rRNA from 1 species